UACGUAGGGUCCAAGCGUUAUCCGGAAUCACUGGGCGUAAAGCGUGCGUAGGCGGCGUGUUAAGUGUGAUGUUAAAUCGUGGGGCUCAACCCUGUCGGUGCAUCACAUACUGGCAUGCUAGAGGAAGGCAGAGGCAAGUGGAAUUUGUAGUGUAGCAGUGAAAUGCGUAGAUAUUACAAGGAACACCAAUUGCGAAGGCAGCUGGCUACACGAAUAUUGACACUCAGGCACGAAAGCGUGGGGAUCAAACAGG
rnacentral:rRNA from 1 species